GACGUAGGAGGCGAGCGUUGUCCGGAUUUACUGGGCGUAAAGCGCGCGCAGGCGGUCGCGCAGGUCAUCGGUGAAAGCCCCCGGCUCAACCGGGCGGAUGCGGGUGAAACCGCGCGACUGGAGGGUGGGAGAGGUCGGCGGAAUUCCCGGUGUAGUGGUGAAAUGCGUAGAUAUCGGGAGGAACACCCGUAGCGAAGGCGGCCGACUGGACCACAUCUGACGCUGAGGCGCGAAGGCCAGGGGAGCGAACGGG
rnacentral:rRNA from 1 species